UUCCGGUUGAUCCUGCCGGAGGCGACCGCUUUUGGAGUUCGAUUAAGCCAUGCGAGUAGAAAGAAAUUAGAUUCUUUGCGAACUGCUCAGUAACACGUGGAUAACCUGCCCUAUGCUCCGGAAUAACCUCGGGAAACUGAGAAUAAUACCGGAUAGAUCACAACGCCUGGAACGGUGUGUGGUUGAAAGAUUACGGCAUAGGAUGGGUCUGCGGCGUAUCAGGUUGUAGGGGGUGUAAAGGACCUCCUAGCCAUCGACGCGUACGGGUGUUGGGAGACAUAGCCCGGAGAUGGAUUCUGAGACACGAAUCCAGACCCUACGGGGUGCAGCAGGCGCGAAAACUUCACACUGCAGGAAACUGUGAUGAGGGAACUCCAAGUGCACGCACUUAGUGUGUGCUUUUUUCAACUAUUAAUCGGUUGAAGAAUAAGGGCUGGGAAAGACCGGUGCCAGCCGCCGCGGUAAUACCGGCAGCUCAAGUGGUCGUCGCUUUUAUUGGGCCUAAAACGUCCGUAGCCUGUUUGGUAAAUCUGUGGGUAAAUCAACCAGCUUAACUGGUUGAAUUCUGCAGAGACUGCCAGACUAGGGACCGGGAGAGGUGUGGGGUACUCUAGGGGUAGGGGUAAAAUCCUGUCAUCCUUAGAGGACCACCAGUUGCGAAGGCGCCACACUGGAACGGAUCCGACGGUCAGGGACGAAGCCUAGGGGCACGAACCGGAUUAGAUACCCGGGUAGUCCUAGGUGUAAACGCCGUGAACUUGGUGUCGGGGAUCCGUCAUGGGUCCCCGGUGCCGGAGUGAAGAUGUUAAGUUCACUGCCUGGGGAGUACGGUCGCAAGGCUGAAACUUAAAGGAAUUGGCGGGGGAGCACUGCAACGGGAGGAGCGUGCGGUUUAAUUGGAUCAACGCCGGA
rnacentral:rRNA from 1 species